GGUCAGCAUCAGGUCUCCAUGCCCGGAACAGGACCUCUGGCUUCACUAGAGGGUGACUGCUGGUCCAACCCCAGCGCUGCUCACUGAGCCGGGCAGAUAGGCCCGGCCCAGAGCCACUGGAUCAACUUACUGCCAGAAUUUUGACACCAGGAGCCCCUCCUGGUGGACGCACGCUGGAGAGAAACAGAUCAAAGCAACAAGCAAACAAACCCCGAAAACCAAAACCCAAAACGCCCUAAUUGUUACAUAACUUUUGUUUUCUUCUUUAAAGACAUUUAUUAUAGCUCUUCAGAGUUCUUAAAAUUCCCCAAGUGAAGGAUCUGGUUUACUGGUGGAGAUCUAUGUCCCCAAAUAAAACUGGACCCUUUCUGAAAAGCCACCUGUUCAAGGUUAACGCCGUGGUCUGUUUCCCUUCACUUUUUUGAACCCUCAGCGGAGAGCUCAUCAGCGGAUCUGUUGUCUCCUGGAAACCGGGAAGGAAAACAGUCAGUUCUGUUCUCUUCCCUGGGCCGGGGGAGUGAGCUAUAAUAAGGGAGCCUAAGAACACCCUGGAAGCCCACAGGCCGGAACACACAGGUUAGCACCGCCUGGCUGACCUGACUCACAGGUGCGCGGUUGCCAGGCACGCUGCUUUGCAGAUCAGAAACUAAGUCUGAUUUACCCUCAGGUCCAAGCCCGCCCCCCACAUUUUCCACGAGGCCUUGCGGCUCACGCGGGUGGAUCCCAUGUAGCAGCCCAUAUGGGAGACAGUGAGCACUGUGAUUAUUACAAGGGGGCACGGGCUGUAGUUGUGCACAGCUUCCUGGUGGUUGACUCAGAGCCGUGGGACCCUGCAGUCAAGGAUUCUGUACCCCAAGAAUGCCUCCUCCUCGCACGUCCCAUCUCCUUCCGGCCCUUGACCGCCUGGAGGGCUCAUCUCUGGAACUCGGAGUCUGAUGAGGAGAGUGACUGAGCCCAGCAAGUGCUGGAGACCAAGAGCCCCUGCCUUCGUGAGCUCUGGCCUUUGCCCCUCCGCCUGCAGCAUCCAAACACCUUCUGACUCUGAAGCAGUGAGGGCGGGGCCCUCAGCCCUGUCCCACCAACCUCCAAAAGCCCCAGGCUGGGACCAGGACAGGAACCCCAGCUUCUCAGCAGCAGCAAGGCACUGUCUGUUCAAGAAAGUUGGGCCAUUUUCAGAAACUAAAGACCCAACUGAAGAACUCUGUAGGCUUCCUCCUCCUCUGGAUACCUGAACCUAAAAAACAAACGACAAGCAAACGAUGCUCUACAUUUGUAAAACUUGAAAUCGUAUUUAUUAUAUCAAAAUGAAAAGUUUGUAUUUCUUCAAACUGUGCAUGGCAUAAAAUCUUUCACAUUUUUUUCCCA